AUUAGGCAAUGCCUAAUAAAUAAACUCAUCAAACAGGUAGGUCAAGUUAGAUAAAAAAAAUAGUCCGACUCAAAUUGACCCAAUUAAUUAACACAUUUUCAUGCAAUAUAAAUCUAAUGGCCUAUACUCAAUCCAACCCACACUCAGUUUGACCCACACCUAACUUGAUCCAUUUUACUAAAACUCUUCCAUAGUUAACUCAAUCUAGGACUACUCAAACCCAAACUAAAGUGCGAGCAAGGAGUGAACUAGCGGAAGACUGAGUGAGAGCAAAGAGAGUGAAGAAAGAGUCAUAGAAGUGGGUUAGGUAUAAGUAAG
rnacentral:lncRNA from 1 species